GACGAACGCUGGCGGCGUGCUUAACACAUGCAAGUCGAACGGAAAGGCCCUGCUUUUGUGGGGUGCUCGAGUGGCGAAAGGGUGAGUAACACGUGAGUAACCUGCCCUUGACUUUGGGAUAACUUCAGGAAACUGGGGCUAAUACCGGAUAGGAGCUCCUGCUGCAUGGUGGGGGUUGGAAAGUUUCGGCGGUUGGGGAUGGACUCGCGGCUUAUCAGCUUGUUGGUGGGGUAGUGGCUUACCAAGGCUUUGACGGGUAGCCGGCCUGAGAGGGUGACCGGCCACAUUGGGACUGAGAUACGGCCCAGACUCCUACGGGAGGCAGCAGUGGGGAAUAUUGCACAAUGGGCGGAAGCCUGAUGCAGCAACGCCGCGUGCGGGACGACGGCCUUCGGGUUGUAAACCGCUUUCGCCUGUGACGAAGCGUGAGUGACGGUAAUGGGUAAAGAAGCACCGGCUAACUACGUG
rnacentral:rRNA from 1 species